AUUGAACGCUGGCGGCAUGCCUUACACAUGCAAGUCGAACGGCAGCACGGGAGCAAUCCUGGUGGCGAGUGGCGAACGGGUGAGUAAUAUAUCGGAACGUGCCCAGUCGUGGGGAUAACGUAGCGAAAGCUACGCUAAUACCGCAUACGAUCUAUGGAUGAAAGCGGGGGAUCGCAAGACCUCGCGCGAUUGGAGCGGCCGAUAUCAGAUUAGGUAGUUGGUGAGGUAAAGGCUCACCAAGCCGACGAUCUGUAGCUGGUCUGAGAGGACGACCAGCCACACUGGGACUGAGACACGGCCCAGACUCCUACGGGAGGCAGCAGUGGGGAAUUUUUGGACAAUGGCGCAAGCUCGAUCCAGCAAUNCGCGUGCAGGA
rnacentral:rRNA from 1 species